CCUCGUGAAUAUCCAUAGGACUGUCGGUGGAACCCUGCAAGCUGGGAGAUAAUCCAUCAGAGAACGGCAGAUAGGAAUCCGAAGAAAACAGGUUUAAUUCUGCUAGGGAGACCAAUUCAAGGGCCUCUGUACUAAGAGUGUCCAAACCCGAGCUACAAGUCUGGCCUAUUGUAAACCCGUUUUCAGCACUGGCUGUCAGAUAGAAGGGGCUCUUAGGUUUUCCGUCGCUACCGCAUACAGCCAGAUCCUGCAGGUUUUGGAGUUCUUUGUUAAGUGUGUGUUGAAUUUGCUUUCUUGCUUGUUCCGUGCAGUUUUUACUGUCUAUAUAGGUUCCUGAUGCUUCCACGGUUCGGCUGAACAGCGACGACUCCUCGCCUUUGUCUUUUGGAAGCGAACUGAUAGAAAACCUAACUUCCCCCUCUUGAUUUUCUUUAUACUGUGCUUGCUUCUUGUGCUUCAUGCGUCGGUUCUGAAACCACACUUUAACUUGCCUCUCGGUCAGGUCAAGAAGGGCCGCGAUCUCCACUCUGCGUGGCCUGCACAAAUAUUUGUUGAAGUGAAAUUCUUUCUCUAGUUCCAAGAGUUGCGUGUUCGUGUACGCUGUCCUGAGUCUCCGGGAGCUGUUGCUGAUUUCCUGUUCACACUGGCCUUCUACCCAGAGAUGUGUAACGAGAGAAAGCGAGAAAGAAAGAACGUGAGGAGAAGUGAAAGUGAAUGUUUAACAUGCACAUUGAAAAGAAUUGCGAUAGCUUCUAUUGGGCAGAAGCCAUUCUUUCACAAGUUAGAUUGAAACUAGCCUUGUGAAAGCUUCUUUCCUGCAAGCGUCGAUAAGAUGCUUUGCACUUUACAUAAAUAACCUCAACAUUGACACAUUCGUGCAGCAGAACCGAUGCUUUCCCUUUCUCGAGUUGCUGGAGCUUUAUAAGAGUUUGAGCAACAUGGCCGCCGAGAACAAAAAUAUCAGAAUCUACUAUAUCUCGAAAUACUUUGGCAACAUUACUCGCGUAUUGAAACAACAUCACAUAAAUGAUUGCAAUGAAUAGGCAUUUUAAUACCAAGUGCUGGAUCCUUCAGACAAUUAGAAAUGCUUUUCAUAAAUUAAGCAGCAACAAAUUCCAGACUAAUCUAUGCUUUGUUGCAUGUUGUCAUCUACCUUCUAAUUGGUAUAGAUACCAUACGCUAAAGUUUGAGUUUUGUAAAUUAGAUGUUUUGAAAAACAUUGCUUAUCUAAACGAUGCAGAGAAAGUCUGGGCUUUGGGGCAGACCUGUCGGAGACUCCGCCGUCUGAGAGGACCCAGGGACCGGAGCUGACAAUGACAGAAGUGUCUCGUUUUUUUUCGACUUUUUCUCUUUCAUCCACGGGAACUCGGCCGCCGCAGCAGAUGGGAAUAGGCCAUUUGGAGGCCGCUUUUCGCGACUUGGCCGCGGCUGGUUGCUGCUGGGAUUCAAGCUCGGGAUAGUCUGCUCAAAAGGAGGAGGAAUUAGUGUCGAGUGUGAAAGCGUCGAGUUCUUGAUUGAUGAACUUUGAAAUGUAUCAGCGACAGCAGGGAAGGACGUCAGGCAUUCGGCAAGCGAAGGCUGGCUGUUAAUAAAACCUAUCUCUCGCUCCAAUUCGAAAUUCAUGGCCUUCGUAAUCCCAAAUGGAAAAAAAAGUUAUGAAUAUCGAGAAAAAUAAUAUUUUCAGGCUUUAAUUCUGUAUCUCUGAUAUUACAAGGCGUAUGGAGACCGACUCUAUUAAACUGCGGACUAGAUUGAAAUUGGACCAAAUUCGUUGUCACAUGAUUGGCGUUGCCCAAUAGCAAUUUGUUGUCUAUGAAAAGAAAUCAUUAUCUCUGCAAUUGAUCCAAAAAGUGAAGAAGCAAAUUAUUCCACUUUAUUUUACCGUCAGAAUUUAAAAAUUGACUUCAGAAUUUUUGAAAUCAUUCUCGUGACAUUUCUUCGUUUUUAAGAAGCCUGAAAAUUGAUUUUUGCAGAAGAAUUCUGCCAAUUAGAGUAUUUUGCAAUUCAAGUGAAGACGAUUUGCACCUAAAAUCUGGCGGCUUGAGUAAUUAACAAGGUACCUCAUUAAUCUUCAAAGUUUUGACAAGAGGGCCAGUAACAAAAUAGAACUUUCACAAGAUCAGCCACGCAGUUGCAAUUUGCCUGUAGGAAAGUUCUAAACCCUUCAAAUGGUUGUAUCAUUGGACACAAUUCACUAAAUGUGCUUUUUCUAAUUAUCGAACGGAAAUAAAUGCUAUUACAGUAGUUUUACAAAGCAGUGAAGAGGGUUCUGAAAUCAGAUCCAAUGACUGGUUUGCCCAGACAGCACGUGGUGUCUCCUUACACCGGAUGGAAACUUUUUACCCCUUAAUUCCUGAAUGUUUGUGUAAGUCUCUGGACCUUGUUUGGUAAUAAAGACAUUUACAAGCUGGAAAA